rnacentral:sRNA from 1 species
AAUGUGUGCAAUUAAAUGCAAGAAAUGUGAUUCAAGGUUUCGGAAUGCAGGAAGAAUAUGAAAUUAAAGCCAGGCCAGAGACGGCCGCAGCGCAGAACAAUUACAGCUGACUCUCUGAGGCAAUGUCGAGUUCGAGUCGAGUUCAGAUAGGAGUUGAGUUGAGUUUGAGCUCCUGCCUCUGUGCUAUUGAAGUGGAGGCUAGAAGACUUGCUUGCCACUGCCUACAUGUCCAGACACAGACAGCCAACCAGUUUUAGAAGUGCAAAAGCGACAGCAGCCACAACUACAGGAGCCAAAGCCGAGAUUGGUAUUCUUUUGGGGUUGGUUUCUCUGCCACGGGGUAGCUGGGGCAAGCCGAGAAACGUGUUUGCCAUGCAGCUGUCAGGCGUCAGGCUUGUGGGACUUGUUAUGGAUUCGUAUAUUUUUUGGCUCUGGCAUUUUCAGGGAGUGCAACAGCAGCAGCAGCAGCGGCAGCCAGUCGACGAGGCGUUGCAAUCAAAUUGAAUGCCAAAUUAUGCCGCAGUAGUCAGAAAUCAGAAAUUCUUACCCAGGCAAUUGCAGUGGAGUAACUAGCGACGAAGACUCCAAAGCCAACAGACAGUGAAAAACCUACUAAUAUGUAGUCGGACAAAUUAAAAAAUAUUUGAAAAAUGCUAAAAAUUGCAUCAGACAUGGAAAUCGCCGGAGAUUGUAAACGGUUUUAAUUGUUGAUUUUUGUAGCCCAUUUGUGGGUGGGUGCGGCAGCAGCCGCCACGUCGCCAUAAGCGUUGAAGUUGACGUCUGCGUCGCUGUCUGCAUCGCCGCCGCCAUCGCACGAGCAACGCGGAAGAAAAGUGGUUUGGCUUGGUCCACCGCUCUCCAUUCCCCACUCCACCACCCUCUGUCUGCCACCACACGUGAGACUGAAUUCCGAGUG